UGCCAGCCGCCGCGGUAAUACGUAAGUCCCAAGCGUUACCCGGAAUUAUUGGGUGUAAAGGGUCCGUAGGCGGAUCUAUAAGUCAGGUAUGAAAGACCGGAGCUCAACUCCGCGUUUGUGCUUGAAACUGUAGGUCUAGAAUCAGGGAGAGGUUAGCGGAAUUCUUAGUGUAGGGGUGCAAUCCGUAGAUACUAAGAAGAACACCAAAAGCGAAGGCAGCUAACUGGAACUCGAUUGACGCUGAGGGACGAAAGCGUGGGGAGCGAAGAGGAUUAGAUA
rnacentral:rRNA from 1 species